AACAGGCCUCAGCUCCUGCUUUAUCCUGCACCAUCCGGGACCGCCGCUGCUGCCACCGCUACUGCUGUUCCUGUCCGCCGCUCCUGAGGGGACCCCCGCCAGGCCAGGGAAAAGGAGAGAGACAGAGCAACGAAAAGGACAGGAUGACACAAAAGGAUUUAUACAGCUUACAGAUAAGAAUUUAUAUCCGGAGCGGAGGGAGGCUGAAUCCCCGGGAAGAUGCCCACAAGACUUAGUUCCACUGAAAAUUGAAUAAUGAACUUUUAGAAAGCAGACUACGUGAACGCCGCUUGGAACACCAGGAUGCCCGCCGCCACCGUAUAAAACAUUUCCAAACUUCGUUCCUAGCAGCUGAGCUCAUAGGAGCAUCAAUUAGACGGUGACCCCUGCAAAAGGAAGGACAAAGCAAUAGACAAACGGAUGGCUUUUUGCAGACAGUCCUUGCAAAGGCUCAGUCAGCUCACCAUGAAAUAUAACAAUAAUAACUCAGAAACACACAUUAGAGGCCUUAUCUGAAAAGACAAAGCUCCUUCGCUGAGAAGGCACUAACUCUGCCCUUGGACUGGGAGCUGCCGCAGCUUUGCAGGGCUUUCAUGAGCGGAAUAAAAGAUGAGCUACAGCAUAGAAAAAGAAGGAGCGGAUAUAAUUCAGGGGUUGAGGUGACCCCAAUAAACAAUCUAAGAGGACUGCACACAUAAGGAACAUUUUCCUUGUCCUUCACAGCUCUCCCUUCCAUUUGUUAUGAGCGUGCCAAGCUAAAAUUCCAUAAAAAGUUCCAUCUUUUUAAUGAUAUUCUAGUCAGCACUCGCAAGAGGAGGGGCUCCUGUAAAAAGAACAGAGCCAGGUGUACUGGGCAGUGAAAAGAAAGGCCGAGCUAUAAGAGAGAAAGAGAGAAUAUUGUGCCAGGCACAAACAGAUGGCCAUCAGAAAAGGCAUUUUACUCCUGAAAUGUCAGAUUUCUUUUUUCUUUCCUGUACAAUUCUAAUAGACAGGCUUUUUGCUUUCAUUGACAAGCAGGGUUCUGAAGCGUAUCCCACUGCCUGCUGGGCUUUGUGUUACCAUUAAAUAUUGCCUUGCUGAAUUCUAAGUGUGCCCGCCAUGGUCAUGACUUUUAAAUGUGACAUUUCUGAUGUUAGAAACGCUGUCACAAUACUGCUGUCUGUUCAGACUUACAAGAAACCAAUAUGAGGGGGAGAGUGGAGAAAGGGAAAAAACACAGAAGAAGUGGUGGGGGGCUUAGAUUUAGAAUUUCAAAUGUUGUUUGUAAAAACGCCUAGCAGUAGGGGCCCCCACACUUGCUGGCUUAGCUUUCCAACAUUAAUGCAUAUCACAUAGUGGCUAACCAGCAGUACUAAGAACACGGAUUCAGCAAGUGACAAUCAUAAGCAAGGGUGAAUAUGAGAUUGGGGGGCUAAGACCAGGCGUAAAGAGGCUGAGUGACAGUCCCCCAACCAAUAGUUCACUAAAGAGUAGAUUAAUAGCAUUUCUUACCAGUAUAAAUAAUCAGUCAGGGCUUUUCUGCAAGUUGGCUAAGAAGCUAGGGUUCUGGGUUGGGGAAACAUUGGAGCACUGAAAGAUUAGUUAUUUGCCUCUAUAGGCACCAAAAAAAUGUGAGGAAUUUACGAAAGACUGUCUGACAAGCUAAUGUAUAUGAUGCCCCCCCUCCCUCCACUGGGGGGACCUACCGUGUUUACCCGAAAAUACACCCUACCCCGAAAAUAGGCCCUAGCUGUAUUAUCGGGGUGGG